rnacentral:rRNA from 1 species
UACGUAGGUGGCGAGCGUUUGUCCGGAAUUACUGGGUGUAAAGCGCGUGUAGGCGGGAGGCCAAGUCUGCGGUGAAAUCGCUCGGCUCAACUGGGCGGGGUCCGUGGAAACUGGUCACCUGGAGGACGGUAGAGGCGAGUGGAAUUCCCGGUGUAGUGGUGAAAUGCGUAGAGAUCGGGAGGAACACCAGUGGCGAAGGCGGCUCGCUGGGCCGGACCUGACGCUGAGACGCGAAGGCGUGGGGAGCGAACGGG